GCGUGGGUGAUGAAGGCCUUCGGGUUGUAAAGCCCUUUUGGCGGGGACGAUGAUGACGGUACCCGCAGAAGAAGCCCCGGCUAACUUCGUGCCAGCAGCCGCGGUAAUACGAAGGGGGCUAGCGUUGUUCGGAAUUACUGGGCGUAAAGGGCGCGUAGGCGGCCUUGAUAGUUGGGCGUGAAAGGCCUGGGCUUAACCCAGGAACUGCGUUCAAUACUGCGAGGCUAGAGUGUGGGAGAGGUUGGUGGAAUUCCCAGUGUAGAGGUGAAAUUCGU
rnacentral:rRNA from 1 species